rnacentral:lncRNA from 1 species
AUGCCACUGAAAAGAGCAGGUGAUCAUCAUGUACCUUUUGGGAAUAUCAAUUGUGGAUCACCUGGAAAAGUUUCAAAGUCACUUCUUAAAUGCAAUUAUGGGACAUCAUUACAGCAAAAUUAUACCCAGUCACAAAUAAGCCUUGUUAAAAAUGAAAUUCUGCAACAGGUCACUUAACUAGGUGUUUUGUUUUGUUUUCUCAUUGGGCAUAGUCACUUUUGCAUUGCAGGCAGAUUCUUUACCAUUUGAGCCACUAGGGAAGCCCUUUCAAUAGAAUCUUGACUUCUAAUCAGAUAAGGUUUACCUAAUUCACAUCUGUUAUGAAGAUAUCUUUGGCAGUUUUAUUUUUAACAUAGGACUUAUUAUGAAAGAUUUGUGGAGAUUAACUAAAUCUAUUCUUUGAGCAAACUGCAGGAGAUAGUGAGAGACAGGGAAACAGGCAUGCUACAGUCCAUGGGGGUCACAAAGAGCUGGACACAAUUUAGUGACCGAACAACAAAAAUGCUUUGCACUAUAUCAGUUUUUGUCUUCUUCCUUACAAAGCUGUUGUUAAAAAGCCUUGACCACUAUGGCUAAGGGGAUAGUCUGACUCAUCUUUUGUACCUUCUAGGCAGUUCCUCCAGAUUCCCUGGUGGCUCAGAUGGUAACAAGUCUGCCUGGGAGACCUGGGUUCAAUCCCGGGGUCAGGAAGAUCCCCUGGAGAAGGAAAUGGCAGCCCACUC